UAAACCCAUGUACGAUACACGUAGUAAUUCUCUUCACCCAAUAAAUCGGAGUAGAGAACUUUGAAAACUUCGUAUAAACCGAAUUUGCAUAGACCCUGUAAGCCGUUACGAACAUAAAGGUUAUUUAUUUUCCAUUAAUCAAUGAAGAGAUUCGAGAUUUUUCAUCAGUUUUCUUCUACAAUGGUUCUUCUGAUGUCAUUUCUCAAGUUGCAUUUUACAAGGAUAAUAUUCAAUUCAUUUCAAAAAAAUUUUAAACAUGCCGACGAACUAAAGAAAAAUUAUUCUAAAAAUGAAUAAUUAUUAUGAAUUUGAACCGUAAUUUAUUUAACCUACAUUAAAUACUUUCAAUUUUUUUUAUUUAUUUUUUUUAUUUAGUUCAAUUCGAUUGAAAUUGUACCACGAAUCAACAUGAAAUAACUUACUUUGAAUCCAUUAACGACAUUCUUAUAUUUAGCUGGAUCGACUUGUAAUCUACACUUGACAAGAUCCAAAGGUGUGACGAGUGUAUGAGUAAUACCACAUGAUAAUAUACCUCCAAGACCACACAAAGCGUAAUAUUUGUUCGAUGCAAAUUCACAA